UACGUAGGGGGCAAGCGUUGUCCGGAUUUAUUGGGCGUAAAGCGCUCGCAGGUGGUUCGUCGCGUCGUGCGUGAAAGACCCCGGCUCAACUGGGGAGUGUCGUGCGAUACGGGCGGACUGGAGGCCAGUAGGGGGAUGCGGAAUUCCGGGUGUAGUGGUGGAAUGCGUAGAGAUCCGGAGGAACACCAGCGGCGAAGGCGGCAUCCUGGACUGGUCCUGACACUCAUGAGCGAAAGCGUGGGGAGCGAGCCGG
rnacentral:rRNA from 1 species